GAGCGAUGGAAGCUUGCUUCUAUCAAUCUUAGUGGCGAACGGGUGAGCAACGCGUAAUCAACCUGCCCUUCAGAGGGGGACAACAGUUGGAAACGACUGCUAAUACCGCAUACGAUCUAACCUUGGCAUCGAGGAUGGAUGAAAGGUGGCCUCUAUUUAUAAGCUAUCACUGAAGGAGGGGAUUGCGUCUGAUUAGCUAGUUGGAGGGGUAACGGCCCACCAAGGCGAUGAUCAGUAGCCGGUCUGAGAGGAUGAACGGCCACAUUGGGACUGAGACACGGCCCAGACUCCUACGGGAGGCAGCAGUGGGGAAUCUUCCGCAAUGGACGAAAGUCUGACGGAGCAACGCCGCGUGAGUGAUGACGGCCUUCGGGUUGUAAAGCUCUGUUAAUCGGGACG
rnacentral:rRNA from 1 species